rnacentral:sRNA from 2 species
CAGCAGCGGGUCAGGUAUUCCAAAUACGUUUAAAAACACCAAGGCGAUGACUGGACGAUCGGCCAAGUUGACCAAUACUCAAAACCACUGGUGUGAACAUCUCCCCCAAGUGCUCCACCAGGCAAGGUACCGUGGACCGCGUACCUUGAUUUACUCCUAAUGGUCUUAACCCGGAUUCAUCCCCCAGAAUCCGG